UGGGGAAUAUUGGACAAUGGGCGCAAGCCUGAUCCAGCCAUGCCGCGUGAGUGAUGAAGGCCCUAGGGUUGUAAAGCUCUUUUACCGGUGAAGAUAAUGACGGUAACCGGAGAAGAAGCCCCGGCUAACUUCGUGCCAGCAGCCGCGGUAAUACGAAGGGGGCUAGCGUUGUUCGGAUUUACUGGGCGUAAAGCGCACGUAGGCGGACUUUUAAGUCAGGGGUGAAAUCCCGGGGCUCAACCCCGGAACUGCCUUUGAUACUGGAAGUCUUGAGUAUUGUAGAGGUGGGUGGAAUUCCGAGUGUAGAGGUGAAAUUCGUAGAUAUUCGGAGGAACACCAGUGGCGAAGGCGGCUCACUGGACCAUUACUGGCGCUGAGGUGCGAAAGCGUGGGGAGCAAACAGG
rnacentral:rRNA from 1 species